GACGAAGGAUCCAAGCGUUAUCCGGAUUUAUUGGGUUUAAAGGGUGCGUAGGCGGAUUGAUAAGUCAGUGGUGAAAGCCUGCAGCUUAACUGCAGAACUGCCAUUGAUACUGUCAAUCUUGAAUAUGGUUGAUGUGGGCGGAAUAUGACAUGUAGCGGUGAAAUGCUUAGAUAUGUCAUAGAACACCGAUUGCGAAGGCAGCUCACAAAGCCAUUAUUGACGCUGAGGCACGAAAGCGUGGGAUCAAACAGG
rnacentral:rRNA from 1 species